rnacentral:rRNA from 1 species
GAUGAACGCUAGCGGCAGGCCUAAUACAUGCAAGUCGAACGGUGUCUUCGGACAUAGUGGCGCACGGGUGCGUAACACGUAUGCAACCUACCUUACAUUGGGGGAUAGCCUUUCGAAAGGGAGAUUAAUACCGCAUAAGACAGUAGCUGGGCAUCCAGCAGCUGUUAAAGAUUUAUCGAUGUAAGCUGGGCAUGCGUCCAAUUAGCUAGUUGGGGAGGUAACGGCUCACCAAGGCAAUGAUUGGUAGGGGAACUGAGAGGUCAAUCCCCCACACUGGCACUGAUAUACGGGCCAGACUCCUACGGGAGGCAGCAGUAGGGAAUAUUGGGCAAUGGACGCAAGUCUGACCCAGCCAUGCCUCGUGCAGGAUGAAGGCGUUAUGCGUUGUAAACUGCUUUUAUACAGGAAGAAACGACUCUUGCGAGAGGCAUUGACGGUACUGUAUGAAUAAGCACCGGCUAACUCCGUGCCAGCCGCCGCUGUAACAC